AGCCUUGCAUUAAAGUGGAAAUUUUUAAAUGGUAAUUCUGGAUUCUAACUUUUCCAUUGUGGAAUUGGGGGUUGUGUUGCUGAAGUUUGUGAAUUGAGGAACACCAUCUGCUUUAUCACUUCUUAACUAAUGUGAAUAUUGUUAAGCAUCCAAUGUUACAGUGGUAGGCUGAAUAUUACUUGUAAUAUAAAACUGGUUAGAUGUGCGCCCAUUCUAUCAAUUACUUGUUAGGAAAGAAUAGUAAAGUAAAAAGGUGACUAGAUCUUUAUAAAUGAUACUAGUGAGUUUACUUU
rnacentral:misc_RNA from 1 species